rnacentral:rRNA from 1 species
GAAUAUUGGACAAUGGGCGAAAGCCUGAUCCAGCAAUGCCGCGUGAGUGAUGAAGGCCUUAGGGUUGUAAAGCUCUUUUGCCAGGGAUGAUAAUGACAGUACCUGGAGAAUAAGCUCCGGCUAACUCCGUGCCAGCAGCCGCGGUAAUACGGAGGGAGCUAGCGUUGUUCGGAAUUACUGGGCGUAAAGCGCGCGUAGGCGGCUUUGUAAGUCAGAGGUGAAAUCCCGGGGCUCAACCCCGGAACUGCCUUUGAAACUACAUCGCUAGAGUCUUGGAGAGGUGAGUGGAAUUCCGAGUGUAGAGGUGGAAUUCGUAGAUAUUCGGAAGAACACCAGUGGCGAAGGCGACUCACUGGACAAGAACUGACGCUGAGGUGCGAAAGCGUGGGGAGCAAACAGG